rnacentral:lncRNA from 1 species
GUUUAAAACCCAGAAGGGUAGCUGACAUCUUUUAUCAAAAAGACAGACAAUUCUUAUCCCCUGACAAUUCCAGAUUAUGGAUCCCAGGAGGCUCUGCUUACACUGGUAUUUUAUCACUGGAAUCAGAGCGACUGCUGUUUAUUUUCUGAACCUCCACGUAGUUUUCAAGGUGUUGCCAGCAGGGCCUGGGCUGACAGUGACACGUGUUAUUGUCACAUUGCUAGAUCUGAAAGAAAACACCAGAUAAAUAAAUAUCAGUGUUUCUCUGGAUCUCUUUUUUCUAUCGUGGGCACCCGAGGCACUGGCAUUUGUUAAUUCACAUAUCUUCCUGUUGGGUGAGGCGAGAUUUUCUUUCAUCUCCCAGAGCCGAGGAGGAAGGUGGCGGCACAGGCUGGCAGCCUGGCAUGGACCAGGAGGGCCACUGGAACUGGGUGGGCCGCAGAGGAUGGAGAGGCCUCUGGAUAAAGUUCCGUCCACGGAGGGGGCGGAGUCUGCCUGCAGGACUGUCUUCUCACGCCUGUCCCGUGUAGAUUUCACAUCUUGGCUAAGACACCCGGGAGGACGUCCUCACCCUAAGAUUAUGAAAACCGAGAUGAUAUGCUCGCCUGAUCGGACGAUGUUUAAAAUACGACAUUUAAAAUGUAUUAUGUUGCAUCGUAAAAUAUGCAUAGCACACCCUUUGCCAUCGUCACCCUUUUGAAGUGUGCCGUUCGGUGGCGUUAGGCACACACAGCUGGACACCGUCACCACCAGCCCCUCCAGAACGCGUUCUGGUUCCCAAACUGAAACUCUGUCCUCAUGAAAGAGUAAGUCCCCAUUCCUGCCUCCUCCCAACCCCGGGCCACCACGGUUCUACUUUCUGUCUCUCUAACUUGGACUGUUCUAGGGACCUCACAUGAGUGGAAUCAUACAGUCGUUGUCUUGUUGUAACUGGCUUCUUUCAUGUAACACGAUGCUCUGGUUUUAUCAUUUUUUUAGACCAUAUUUUUAGUUGACCUGGAAUUUCUGUGUGUGUGUGUGUGUGUGUGUGUAGGUAAUAAUUUAAUUUUAUUCCUCCCAACACAUGGUUUACUGGUUCUCCCAGCAUCAUUUAUGGCAGAGGCCCUUUUUUUCCCACAGUCAGUCGAUAAAUAUCUCUACUGGAAACUGUACUGAUGCAUAAAGGCAUCUCUUGGGGGGGGGGCUCUUUUCUGUUCCCCUGGUCCGUUUGUUCACUCCUUCCUAUGCCCAGUUUCCACACCAUUUUGACUUCGAAAGCUGAGACCUCACCCAUCCCAAGUUCAGGGACUUCCUCAGGCUUAUUUUCUGUUUGUCAGCCUUUCAGCGGCUCCCAGAGAUUUGGGGCUCCCCAUGGUCUCUGUCAUGAUCCCAG